GUGUGUGUGUGUGCGUGUGUUAUGAUUAAUGUUUGCCCAUCUGUCUUGUCUUUGUCUCUUCAGGAUGCAAGGUGCCAUGCUUGAUAUAUAGAAGAUUUCAGCUUAUUAUAUCCUUUCAGCCACCUGAUGGAGAGUCGUCUGAGUAUUUAGGAGAGUCGAAAAAUGAUUUGCCAGGAAGAGGAAGCUGAACCUACAGAGGGCAGAGACCCACCAAAGCUGCACAGAUGAAGAUUGAAAAGAACCUGAAGCUUGAUCUCUGGUCUGUCAACAGCAUGCCAGAUGGGCGCUAUUUCUCACCCGCUUCCAUUACACGAUCACAUAUCUUCCAGGCUCCAAGAAUAUGAAAGCAGAUGCCCUGUCCCAAAUUUAUGGCCCCGACGACCCCACAGCCCCCAAACCUAUCGUUCCACCUAGUCUAAUCCUCAGCUCCAUUGUGUGGGAUUCAGAGGAGGAGAUCAGAACGUAAACUGUAACCUGUAGAUCAGACCCCAGACAGGACAUCUUGGACCCAUCCUGGAGGAGUUUCACACCGUUCACCCUAACCGUCCCUGGUGCCAGGUUAGGGUGUCAGGAGCCACCCCUGGAGGAGGGGGUAAUGUCAGAGAACCACCAGCCAUGCCUCCCUCCUGCACUCAACACUCUUGCUCAGCCUCUCCCUCCUACUUAUCACCUACACCUGUUCCCCAUUUACAUUCCCCUUUAUAAGGCCCCCAUUUCCCCUCACUCACCAUCCGAUCUACAGUUUACUCCAUAAAUCAUUACGGACUACCUACUGUUCUGUGUGUUUCCA